UACAGAGGGGGCAAGCGUUGUUCGGAAUUACUGGGCGUAAAGGGCGCGUAGGCGGCCCGCUAAGUCGAACGUGAAAUCCCCAGGCUCAACCUGGGAACUGCGUCCGAUACUGGCAGGCUUGAAUCCGGGAGAGGGAUGUGGAAUUCCAGGUGUAGCGGUGAAAUGCGCAGAUAUCAGGAGGAACACCGAUGGCGAAGGCAGAUCUCUGGGCCGUAACUGACGCUGAGGAGCGAAAGCGUGGGGAGCGAACAGG
rnacentral:rRNA from 1 species